UAGGGAAUCUUCGGCAAUGGACGAAAGUCUGACCGAGCAACGCCGCGUGAGUGAAGAAGGUUUUCGGAUCGUAAAACUCUGUUGUUAGAGAAGAACAAGGACGUUAGUAACUGAACGUCCCCUGACGGUAUCUAACCAGAAAGCCACGGCUAACUACGUGCCAGCAGCCGCGGUAAUACGUAGGUGGCAAUCGUUGUCCGGAUUUAUUGGGCGUAAAGCGAGCGCAGGCGGUUUCUUAAGUUUGAUGUGAAAGCCCCCGGCUCAACCGGGGAGGGUCAUUGGAAACUGGGAGACUUGAGUGCAGAAGAGGAGAGUGGAAUUCCAUGUGUAGCGGUGAAAUGCGUAGAUAUAUGAAGGAACACCAGUGGCGAAGGCGGCUCUCUGGUCUGUAACUGACGAUGAGGCUCGAAAGCGUGGGGAGCAAACAGG
rnacentral:rRNA from 1 species